UACGGAGGAGGCAAGCGUUAUCCGGAAUUAUUGGGCGUAAAGCGUCCGUAGGUGGCUAGUCAAGUCUGCGGUCAAAGACUGGGGCUUAACCCUGGAAUGGCCGUGGAAACUGACGAGCUAGAGUGCAGUAGGGGUAGAGGGAAUUCCCGGUGUAGCGGUGAAAUGCGUAGAGCUCGGGAAGAACAUCGGUGGCGAAAGCGCUCUACUGGACUGCAACUGACACUCAGGGACGAAAGCUAGGGGAGCGAAUGGG
rnacentral:rRNA from 1 species